rnacentral:rRNA from 1 species
AUGGCCGUCGGUGGUGCUCGCCGGACCGGAGCGGCUUCGCCGGAGCGCAUACAGGUUGAAGGCGAUUUGGCGAUGCGCCGGCGUUCCCGCCGGCGGCGGAGUCCUGUGCUUGCCGUUUUCGGUGGCACUGGGCAGUUCCAUCGCUGCCGCGGUGGCGGUCUCGCCAGUAAGAAGAAACGUACUCGUAACAGGGCCUCCCAGGAACGGCUGACUUCAUUGAUUGAUAGAUUUACCGACGAUCAGAAGGGAGCUGCUGCUGAGAUGGGUAUGCACGCUCUGAUGAAUGUCCGGUGCGCGAAUCUAGUCAACCCUGUAUGCGACUGGCUUGGUGAGAUUUACGACCCUGCCUCCAGGGAAUUUAUGAUUCCGGGACGUGGAAGACUGCCGUUGAACGAGGAAUCUGUUUUCUGCACUUUGGGUGUGCCCCGUGGACAUACUAAAGUCCCGUAUGAGGUCAAUAACAAGAUCGAGGAAGCGUUGUUCCCCCAUUUGUUUCCUGGGUUGGAAUCCAUGCCGAACACGUCUGUACUGGCAGAUUCGCUGCAGGCCAUGACAACCCAUGGCGAGGUUUUUAAGAUGAAACUACGCAUGUACCUCAUAUCAGCUAUUUUUGCGCCAACCAUUUCUCUUUGCCCAAGCAACAAAUGCUUCCCCAUCCUGGCGAAACUGAAAGAUGUGAAGAACAUGAAUUGGUGUAAGUUCAUUGCUGACUUCCUGCACAAUGCAUUCUCAAGCAAGAUGUACCAGAAGGGUUAUCGACUGCAUUUAAUGCUCAUGUACGUCGACUGUCUUGAUCUGUCCACCGUGGAUUUCACUGGGAUAGGAGGCCCACCGCCUACGCACAAGUUUGUUGUUUCUACGUGGACUAUCGAUGCUGUCAAGGCUGUGCUUGCUGCAGACAGGGUAACUGAUACCAAAUAUGGAAAACUGCAGCUGAUGGCCAAGCAUGCUAUAGACUACAGCGUGUUUGGGGGGCCUCAAAACUUUGGAAAGUGGACCGUCUUGCCCUACUGA